GCCCAGCCCCACGACGAGGCCGACGAGCGCGCCGAGCGCGAGAUUGAGGGUGACACGCGGACGGGCAGGGAAGCUGGGCGGUUCUGCAACCUGGCGGACGCUGACUGCCAUGCGCGGCAUGGCGAGUUCCAUCGUCUGCGUCUGGGUCCGCAUGCGAACACCAUCGAGCAGCGAUUUCUCCUUGAUGUAAUUGUUUUUCGCGCGCGUGUAAUUCGCGCUCGUGUUCUUGGCGUUGAGUUGUUUCUGAUUCAGGUCCUCGAGACGGCGGCGCAGUUCGGUCACGGUUGUCUGCGCAGUCGUCAGGUUCUUCUCGAGCGCGCUGCGGAUGAUCAGGACCUGCUCUUCGAGCUGUUUCGUGAAGACGU
rnacentral:misc_RNA from 1 species